rnacentral:rRNA from 1 species
UACGUAGGGUCCGAGCGUUGUCCGGAAUUAUUGGGCGUAAAGAGCUCGUAGGCGGUCCGUUAAGUCGGAAGUGAAAUCUCAAGGCUCAACCUUGAAAUCGCUUUCGAUACUGGCGGACUUGAGGCAGGUAGGGGAAGGUGGAAUUCCUGGUGUAGCGGUGAAAUGCGUAGAUAUCCGGAGGAACACCGGUGGCGAAGGCGGCUUCCUGGACCGACACUGACGCUGAGGCGCGAAAGCUAGGGGAGCAAACGGG